rnacentral:tRNA from 1 species
CCCUGGCUGGCUCAGCUGGUAGAGCAUGAGACUCUUGAUCUUCGGACUGUGAGUUUGAGUUCCACGUUGGGUG